rnacentral:rRNA from 1 species
CACGGGGGGAGCAAGCGUUGUUCGGAAUCACUGGGCGUAAAGGGCGUGUAGGCGGUCAAGUAAGUGGAAUGUGAAAUCCCUCGGCUUACCCGAGGACCUGCAUCCCAAACUGCUUGGCUUGAGUACGGGAGAGGAUGAGGGAAUUCCUGGUGUAGCGGUGAAAUGCGCAGAUAUCAGGAGGAACACCAAUUGCGAAGGCAGCUCGCUGGGACGUUACCGACGCUGAGACGCGAAAGCGUGGGGAGCAAACAGG